rnacentral:rRNA from 1 species
CCCGAGAUGAGUUCUCCCUGAGACUUUAGGUCUCCUGAAGGAACGUUGAAGACGACGACGUUGAUAGGCCGGGUGUGUAAGCGCAGCGAUGCGUUGAGCUAACCGGUACUAAUGAACCGUGAGGCUUAACCUUAC